rnacentral:rRNA from 1 species
AGUGAACGCUGGCGGUAGGCCUAACACAUGCGAGUCGAACGUCAGCACAGUAAGAGCUUGCUCUUACGGGUGGCGAGUGGCGGACGGGUGAGGAAUACAUCGGAAUCUACUUUUUCGUGGGGGAUAACGUAGGGAAACUUACGCUAAUACCGCAUACGACCUACGGGUGAAAGCAGGGGAUCUUCGGACCUUGCGCGAUUGAAUGAGCCGAUGUCGGAUUAGCUAGUUGGCGGGGUAAAGGCCCACCAAGGCGACGAUCCGUAGCUGGUCUGAGAGGAUGAUCAGCCACACUGGAACUGAGACACGGUCCAGACUCCUACGGGAGGCAGCAGUGGGGAAUAUUGGACAAUGGGCGCAAGCCUGAUCCAGCCAUACCGCGUGGGUGAAGAAGGCCUUCGGGUUGUAAAGCCCUUUUGUUGGGAAAGAAAAGCAGCAGGUUAAUACCCCGCUGUUCUGACGGUACCCAAAGAAUAAGCACCGGCUAACUUCGUG